UGCAUGUCUAAGUACUUGCCGUACUAAGGCGAAACCGCGAAUGGCUCAUUAAAUCAGUUAUGGUUCCUUGGAUCGUACCUCCCUACUUGGAUAACUGUGGCAAUUCUAGAGCUAAUACAUGCAGCGGAGCUCCGACCUCCGGGGACGAGCGCUUUUAUUAGACCAACCGACCGGACUCUGUCCGUUCCUUGUGGUGAAUCUGAAUGACUUUGGGCCGAUCGCACGGGCACGUCCCGGCGACGUAUCUUUCAAGUGUCUGCCUUAUCAACUUUCGACGGUAGGUUACGCGCCUACCGUGGUCGUAACGGGUGACGGGGAAUCAGGGUUCGAUUCCGGAGAGGGAGCCUGAGAAACGGCUACCACAUCCAAGGAAGGCAGCAGGCGCGCAAAUUACCCACUCCCGGCACGGGGAGGUAGUGACGAAAAAUAACGAUACGGGACUCUUACGAGACCCCGUAAUCGGAAUGAGUACACUCUAAACCCUUUAACGAGGAUCCAUUCGAGGGCAAGUCUAGUGCCAGCAGCCGCGGUAACCCUAGCUCGAAUAGCGUAUAUUAAAGUUGUUGCGGUUAAAAAGCUCGUAGUCGAAUCUCGGUUCCGGACGGACGGUCCGCUCGCACGCGGUCGCUGUCCGUCCUGGACGUCCUGUCGGUCUUCCUCGAUGAUCUUCAUCGGUUGUCCUGGGCGACCGGCGAUUUUACUUUGAAAAAAUUAGAGUGCUCAAAGCGGGCGCGACGCCUGGAUAAUGGUGCAUGGAAUAAUGGAAUAGGACCUCGGUUCUGUUUUGUUGGUUUUCGGAGUUCGAGGUAAUGAUCAAGAGGGACAGGCGGGGGCAUUCGUACUGCGACGCUAGAGGUGAAAUUCUUGGACCGUCGCAAGACGAACUACUGCGAAAGCAUUUGCCAAGGAUGUUUCCGUUGAUCAAGAGCGAAAGUUAGAGGAUCGAAGGCGAUCAGAUACCGCCCUAGUUCUAACCGUAAACGAUGCCAGCUAGCGAUCCGGCUUCGCCCUUUCGGUGACGAGCCGGGCAGCUUCCGGGAAACCAAAGCGUUUGGGUUCCGGGGGGAGUAUGGUUGCAAAGCUGAAACUUAAAGGAAUAGACGGAGGGGCACCACCAGGAAUGGAGCCUGCGGCUUAAUUUGACUCAACACGGGAAAACUUACCCGGCCCGGACACAGGAAGGAUUGACAGAUUGAGAGCUCUUUCUUGAUUCUGUGGGUGGUGGUGCAUGGCCGCUCUUAGUUCGUGGAGCGAUUUGUCUGGUUGAUUCCGAUAACGAACGAGACUCUAGCCUAUUAAAUAGACGUUCCGAUCGUCGCCGUCGGGCGUUCUUCUUAGAGGGAUAAACGGCGUUUAGCCGCACGAGACAGAGCAAUAGCAGGUCUGUGAUGCCCUUAGAUGUCCGGGGCCGCACGCGCGCUACAAUGAGAGGAUCAACGUGCGUUCUCCCUGUCCGGUAGGACCGGGUAACCCCUUGAAACCCUCUCGUGCUUGGGAUCGAAGUUUUUAAUUUUUUCUUGAACGAGGAAUUCCUAGUAAGCGGGAGUCAUCAGCUCCUGUUGACUAGGUCCCUGCCCCUUGUACUCACCGCCCGUCGCUAUUAUCGAUCGAAUGAUUUAGUGAGGUCUUCGGACUGGCGCUCGGAGCGGCCACUGGUCACGCGCCGCGGUGCCGGAAAGAUGACCGAACUUGAUUAUUUAGAGAAAAUAAA
rnacentral:rRNA from 1 species